CAGACGUCCACGUCUGGUGCAGACGACCUCGAGGCUCCCCUCGUCCUGCACUGGGGUCGUACCCGCGGAUCAGUUGGAAUGCGAGAGAAGCUCCGCCAGAGGUGUGAGUUGAAAAUCUGUUGGACGGGGGCCUCCCCAGACGUUCCCAGUGGACCCGCACUACGUGCUUGGGCUUACCAGAUCUAUCCUGAGUCUUCUCCCAGCCACUGAUGAUGAUCAGUUGACAACUCUGCCCCUCUCUUUACCCAAGUGUCCAAAACAUGACAGCCUCACAUCAGCCGAAACGACCACAAAAUCAUCGAUCUUCGGCCUGGGGUGUUCUGG
ensembl:lncRNA